rnacentral:rRNA from 1 species
GAUGAACGCUAGCGGCAGGCUUAACACAUGCAAGUCGAGGGGCAGCGCGGGGUAGCAAUACUCUGGCGGCGACCGGCGAAAGGGUGAGUAACGCGUGAGCAACAUGCCCGAUAGAGGGGGAUAGUCAUUGGAAACGAUGCGUAAUACCCCGUAACAUUCGGAACCGCAUGAUUCUGAAUUGAAAGAUUUAUUGCUAUCGGAUUGGCUCGCGUACCAUUAGCUAGUUGGCGGGGUAACGGCCCACCUGGCCACCGAUCGGUAGGGGUUCUGAGAGGAAUGUCCCCCACACUGGUACUGAGACACGGACCAGACUCCUACGGGAGGCAGCAGUGAGGAAUAUUGGUCAAUGGACGGGAGUCUGAACCAGCCAAGUAGCGUGCAGGACGACGGCCCUAUGGGUUGUAAACUGCUUUUAUACGGGGAUAAAGUCGCCCACGUGUGGGUGUUUGUAGGUACCGUAUGAAUAAGGACCGGCUAAUUCCGUGCCAGCAGCCGCGGUAAUACGGAGGAUCCGAGCGUUAUCCGGAUUCAUUGGGUUUAAAGGGUGCGCAGGCGGUGCCUUAAGUCAGCGGUAAAAUCGUGGGGCUCAACCCCAUCCCGCCGUUGAUACUGGGGCACUUGAUUACGGUCGAGGCAGGCGGAAUUCGUCGUGUAGCGGUGAAAUGCAUAGAUAUGACGAAGAACACCGAUUGCGUAGGCAGCCUACCAGGCCGUUAAUGACGCUCAUGCACGAAAGUGCGGGGAUCGAACA